AAACAAAGACAAAUCUGACUGAAGUCUCCCAACCUCUUCCUUGUAGUGCUCUUGCCUGUCUGGCCUGGGAAGGGGUGAAGAGGAGCACCAGCAAAAUGGGGAACAAAAACCCUCAAGGUCACUAUUGGAGCUAGGAUCAGCUGAGGAUGUAGAAGCAGCAGUUUGAAGGGAGAAUAUCUUUGAAUAAACCAGCUGGAAUAGGGAGAAAGGCUCAUCAAAUACAGACAGGAGAGGAGAGGAAAGGAAAGGAAAUCCCAGCUCCAUUGAAGCUGAAGCCAAAUCUCCCAUCAAAUUCAUUGGGGCUACAGUCUCACCUAAGCUGCAUAACACACUUAAAAAUGCUACUGGCCUGACAAUUAUACAAAAUAGACCCCACAUUUCUGUCCUGAGAGGGGAGAGGGAGCAGGAGGAGAAGAGGGGAACCUAACACACACAUCUGUCUGAUCCUGUGAGGCAUUUACCUCACAGUAGCAUGUACUUGGCAAAAGAUGUGAUGUAUGGAGUGA